rnacentral:rRNA from 1 species
AGAGUUUGAUCAUGGCUCAGAACGAACGCUGGCGGCGUGGAUAAGACAUGCAAGUCGAGCGGGAUUUUUUCUUGUAGCAAUACAGGGAAAAGUCUAGCGGCGAACGGGUGCUUAACACGUGGGCAACCUGCCAAGAAGUGGGGGAUAGCUCGCCGAAAGGCGAAUUAAUACCGCAUGUGAUCAGAGUGGACAUCCAUUCAAAAUCAAAGUCGGGGCAACCUGACGCUUCUUGAGGGGCCCGCGGCCUAUCAGCUAGUUGGUGGGGUAACGGCCCACCAAGGCUUAGACGGGUAGCUGGUCUGAGAGGACGACCAGCCACACUGGGACUGAGACACGGCCCAGACACCUACGGGUGGCAGCAGUCGAGAAUUUUUCUCAAUGGGGGAAACCCUGAAGGAGCGACGCCGCGUGGAGGAUGAAGGUCUUCGGAUUGUAAACUCCUGUCAUUGGGGAACAAUGCGCAAAUAUUAACUGUAUUUGCGUUGAUAGUACCCGAAGAGGAAGAGACGGCUAACUCUGUGCCAGCAGCCGCGGUAAUACAGAGGUCUCAAGCGUUGUUCGGAUUCAUUGGGCGUAAAGGGUGCGUAGGCGGCGCGGUAAGUCGGGUGUGAAAUCUCGGAGCUUAACUCCGAAACUGCAUUCAAUACUGCCGUGCUUGAGGACUGGGGAGGAGACUGGAAUUUACGGUGUAGCGGUGAAAUGCGUAGAUAUCGUAAGGAAGACCAGUGGCGAAGGCGGGUCUCUGGACAGUUCCUGACGCUGAGGCACGAAGGCCAGGGGAGCAAACGGAAUUAGAUACCCCCGUAGUCC